GAUUCCCAUGGCUCAGAGUGAACGCUGGCGGUAGGCCUAACACAUGCAAGUCGAACGGCAGCACAGUAAGAGCUUGCUCUUAUGGGUGGCGAGUGGCGGACGGGUGAGGAAUACAUCGGAAUCUACUUUUUCGUGGGGGAUAACGUAGGGAAACUUACGCUAAUACCGCAUACGACCUACGGGUGAAAGCAGGGGACCUUCGGGCCUUGCGCGAUUGAAUGAGCCGAUGUCGGAUUAGCUAGUUGGCGGGGUAAAGGCCCACCAAGGCGACGAUCCGUAGCUGGUCUGAGAGGAUGAUCAGCCACACUGGAACUGAGACACGGUCCAGACUCCUACGGGAGGCAGCAGUGGGGAAUAUUGGACAAUGGGCGCAAGCCUGAUCCAGCCAUACCGCGUGGGUGAAGAAGGCCUUCGGGUUGUAAAGCCCUUUUGUUGGGAAAGAAAUCCAGCCGGCUAAUUCCUGGUUGGG
rnacentral:rRNA from 1 species